GAUGAACGCUGGCGGCGUGCCUAAUACAUGCAAGUCGAGCGAACAGACGAGGAGCUUGCUCCUCUGACGUUAGCGGCGGACGGGUGAGUAACACGUGGAUAACCUACCUAUAAGACUGGGAUAACUUCGGGAAACCGGAGCUAAUACCGGAUAAUAUAUUGAACCGCAUGGUUCAAUAGUGAAAGACGGUUUUGCUGUCACUUAUAGAUGGAUCCGCGCCGCAUUAGCUAGUUGGUAAGGUAACGGCUUACCAAGGCAACGAUGCGUAGCCGACCUGAGAGGGUGAUCGGCCACACGGGAACUGAGACACGGUCCAGACUCCUACGGGAGGCAGCAGUAGGGAAUCUUCCGCAAUGGGCGAAAGCCUGACGGAGCAACGCCGCGUGAGUGAUGAAGGUCUUCGGAGCGGAAAACUCUGUUAUUAGGGGAGAACAAAUGUGUAAGUAACUAUGCACGUCUUGACGGUACCUAAUCAGAAAGCCACGGCUAACUACGUG
rnacentral:rRNA from 1 species